rnacentral:rRNA from 1 species
GCCUAAAGCGUCCGUAGCCUGUUUUGUCAGUUUUCGGUUAAAUCCAUACGCUCAACAUAUAGGCUGCCGGAAAUACUGUAAAGCUAGGGAGUGGGAGAGGUAGACGGUACUCCGUAGGAAGGGGUAAAAUCCUUUGAUCUAUGGAUGACCACCUGUGGCGAAGGCGGUCUACCAGAACACGUCCGACGGUGAGGGAUGAAAGCUGGGGGAGCAAACCGGAUUAGAUACCCGGGUAGUCCCAGCUGUAAACUAUGCAAACUCAGUGAUGCAUUGGCUUGUGGCCAGUGCAGUGCCGCAGAGAAGUCGUUAAGUUUGCCGCCUGGGAAGUACGUACGCAAGUAUGAAACUUAAAGGAAUUGGCGGGGGAGCACCACAAGGGGUGAAGCCUGCGGUUCAAUUGGAGUCAACGCCAGAAAUCUUACCCGGAGAGACAGCAGGAUGAAGGUCAAGCUGAAGACUUUACCAGACAAGCUGAGAAGUGGUGCAUGGCCGUCGCCAGCUCGUGCCGUGAGGUGUCCUGUUAAGUCAGGUAACGAGCGAGAUCCUUGCCUCUAGUUGCCACCAUUACUCUCAGGAGUAGUGGGGCGAAUUAGCGGGACUGCCGUAGUUAAUACGGAGGAAGGAGAGGGCCACGGCAGGUCAGUAUGCCCC